AUAAAACGAAGAAUUCUCCACAGAUUCCAGAUUGGCAGGGGAUCGAAGUGACUCUUUAAGAGGUUGGUUUCCAGAAAGUCGAUCAACAAUAUCGCCUAUCACAAAUUUCACUGCGAUUUCCCUUCCUCCGUUGUUGUCAAUGAUUUCAUCCGUCACAGAUUCCAAUUCAAUGUCAGCAUUUUUUUCAUCGAUUUCAGCCUUAGUGUCAUCUUCCACAUCUAUAUCUUCUAUAUCAAGAUCGUUCUCUUCAUCUUCUUCAUCAGCUAUCUGCUCAAUAACUUUUGAGAUGAAAUCCUUAUCCACCCUUCCAGGCGCAGUUACUUUCAUAACCUUAACCUUGACCCCG